rnacentral:rRNA from 1 species
UACGUAGGGUGCGAGCGUUGUCCGGAAUUACUGGGCGUAAAGAGCUUGUAGGUGGUUUGUCGCGUUGUUCGUGAAAUCUCACGGCUUAACUGUGAGCGUGCGGGCGAUACGGGCAGACUAGAGUACUGCAGGGGAGACUGGAAUUCCUGGUGUAGCGGUGGAAUGCGCAGAUAUCAGGAGGAACACCGGUGGCGAAGGCGGGUCUCUGGGCAGUAACUGACGCUGAGGCACGAAGGUCAGGGGAGCAAACGGG